UAGAGUUCAGCACCCCAGAUGCGGACAGCGACACCGCCCAGUUGAGUCCCAUGACUCGCUGCGGAGAUUUUCACCUGACAAAGGAACCGGCCAAUCUCAACGCCGCGUGAUCGACCAAUUUACAAUGCCAGAGGAGGAAUCAACACUCUGGCUUCCUACUCAUCUUGAAGACAGAUCCCCUUCAGAACACUUGAUUCUUAGAAGAGCAGAACAUUGGAAUGGUAGUGGAACAGGCUGCCCUUUCCUCCCAUGGGGCUCCCUGACCCUUGAGGAGAGGAAUUUGAUGGGGAAUCCCAUUCCAGGCUGUGUUCCAAGGUCUCUCACUGUCUGCAUAAUGUCUGGCUGUAGGUCUCUGUAUUGUUCCCAUCUCCUGCAGAAGGAAGCUUCUCGGUUGAUAGCUGAGCAAGAUAGAGACUACAUUGUGGAAUUAAAUCUUCUAGUACCUCUUAAAAGAGCUUAAGGGAAAGAAAAAAAACUGCAAGCCUGGAGGUUGUUUCAGUGGAUCCCAGGGACUGAACUCAGAUCACAAGUGGUUAAUUGUACCUGCUGAGUCAUCUCACUGCACCUGCUGAGCCAUCUCACUGUACCUGCUGAGUCAUCUCACUGCACCUGCUGAGCCAUCUCACUGCACCUGCUGAGUCAUCUCACUGCACCUGCUGAGUCAUCUCACUGUACCUGCUGAGCCAUCUCACUGCACCUGCUGAGUCAUCUCACUGCACCUGCUGAGUCAUCUCACUGCACCUGCUGAGUCAUCUCACUGCACCUGCUGAGUCAUCUCACUGCACCUGCUGAGUCAUCUCACUGCACCUGCUGAGUCAUCUCACUGCACCUGCUGAGUCAUCUCACUGCACCUGCUGAGUCAUCUCACUGCACCUGCUGAGUCAUCUCACUGUACCUGCUGAGUCAUCUCACUGUACCUGCUGAGUCAUCUCACUGCACCUGCUGAGUCAUCUCACUGCACCUGCUGAGUCAUCUCACUGCACCUGCUGAGUCAUCUCACUGCACCUGCUGAGUCAUCUCACACUGGUUAGGUUUUGUUGUUGUUGUUGUUGUUGCUGCUGCUGUUUUAAGACAAGGUUUGUCUAUGUAUCCCUGGCUGUCCUGGAAUUCACUCUGUAGACCAGGCUAGCCUCAAACCACCUGCCUCUGCCUCCCAAUGCUGGGAUUAAAGGUGUGCACCGCUUUUGAUGAAUAAGCCUCAGCCCCGCCUAAAGGUUCUAAGAAAAAGAGGUAAGGAAAAGGAUUGUUGAUAAUAAUAACUAUUUAUUGAGCACAUAAUGUGGCCAAAAUUGUGACUAAACCUUUUGAAGACGAUCUUGAUAAAAAUCUUCCCUACAGAUACAAGGCCUGCACUAAAGAGCUCAUGGCUUUGGGGGUGAGGAGACUAAGACUGGAAAACUGGGAGCCGUGUCUUGCUAGACCCCCAUCAAGUUACAGAGAAAUGUUGUGUUACUAACACACUUAGUCCCUCCAAACCCCAGUCAGUGGCUGCAGUCCUUGUGGAAGCCUUGGAGGGGUUAUUAAUGACUUUAAAAGGGAGCUAAACAAGCUACAUGCUCACUCCCUCUCUCAAGGUUCCCCUCUCUUGUCACAAUUAACAUUCUGGGCUAGAAAGCUCAUUUUUGGUGGGGGCCUCUCCUGCGCACUGCGGGGUGCUGAGUAGUGCCCUUGGUCUCUGCCCACUAAAAGCCACUGCACUUUGGCCUUCAAGUACCAAGAAGACCAAGAUGUCUCCUGACAUAAACUGAUGUCCCCCAGGGUAAAACUCCACACUGAGAAAUGCCAUAUCUAAAGUCUACAUUCAUCAAAAUUUAACUUCAAAAGGAUAAUACCUGUUACAGAAUAUGUAGCAGCCUGGGCUGAACUCACCCAGGAGGGUAGCUGUUAAGUACUCUACAGCCAACAAAAGUUCAUUUGUGGGGGCAGUGUGUGUGUGUGUGUGUGUGUGUGUGUGUGUGUGUGUGAGUGUGUGUGUGUGUGUGUGUGUGCACGUGUGUGUGUGCACGCGCACCUCAUUAUAUGGCUUCCUAAUUGUAGUGAGGUGCAAGGGCUAAACAAAUAAAUAAGAUGGCUGGGGAAGGGGUCUCUAGUGAUUAAAACUGAUUUGCUGCAGUUCUUCUCAGAUUGAAAUUGCAAAGUGGGAAGUGACCAUCAGCCCCCUGGCUGUGAAGUGUGAUUCUCGAUUACAUCCUCGUUUGCCUCAGUGAUAAACAUAAAAACCAGGGUGACAGCCAGAUGCUCUUCAGCAGUAGUAGCUAAUGAUCAACAGUGUCCCGUCUUCUCCUACUCUUACACUUAGAAAUGACCACCAUUGCUUUCACACCACCGUUUCCAUUUAUUAGCAAUAACAGAGGAAAUACCAAUAGCACCAAUUAAAAAUGAAUCCACAUGACGUGUUUUAUCCUUACAGCUGUAAUAACUAGUAACUAACACGAAUUGGAAAGCACUUCAUAAAUUUAAAAAGUGCUGUACAUAUACAUUAUAGUUAUCAUCAUUAAUAAAUUAGCCCGAUUCUCCUAGUUCAAAAGGCACGUAAGGUCAGUUACAUGGGCUUCAGUGGGGCAAAAUGAUCACAACCUACAAUGUAGCAAUGGUUCACAUGUGUUGUCAACAAGUUUUACCCCAUGCAAUCCUGCAGAGCUGAAGUUACACACCCUUCAAAAUAUGGGAGAAUGAAGCUAAAAGACAAGACAGUUUUUUUUUUAGAUUUUAUGCCUUUUAAAACAGACUCCUACCUCUUUUAUAUUAACUUUUAAAUAGAUAAUAUAAUUAAUCAAACUUCUAAGUUGUACACAACAAACUUAAAAUGUCUUAUUUAUGGUAACAGUAAAUUUUAUUACUUUCUAUGAGCUGAUAUUCCGGAUAGCAUUUCAAAGCAAUCUGCAAAUUCAAAGAGGUCAGAUUGGUACAAUUUUGUGCUUGCAUACCCUCAGGGACUUUCUUCGGUAUUCAUUCCAGAACUGUUACUAGAAAAAAGCAGCUUUAUCCAUUCCCUUGCCAGCAGGAAUCUUGGCAAGAGACAGCCCUUGGCUGACCAUAAAUAAAAUUCCUUGAAUCACCAGCAUCUUGAUUUAAGAAAGAAAUUUUACUGUGUCUUUCAUACACAAAAGCUGAUUAACAAUGGUUUAAAAAAAAAAAACACUAUUUCACUUUUCCACAGGUGUACAAAAGGAAAUAUAAUGGGCUUACAUUCAACAAUAAAGCUUAAAGUUCACUCUAGGUAAUAGUUGCAUUAACAUUCACAUACACAAGCACAGAGUAAGUAUAUCUCAGGAGUCUUAUAAUAGCAUACAGCAUACAUAUGGGAGAUUGAUUCAGGUAACAUCAUAGGUGUUAGUAAGGUUAGCAAUUCAGAGUGUUAUAGAAAAGGAAAACUAAACAAGGCGAAGGUGUAGGCUAGCACACCAAGACAAUCACAGGAUCAGAGGAAUGAAAAAUCUGCUCACUGUAUGUAUGAGAAAACGAUAUUUUUCUUCAGUUUCUGGGUCUUGAUAGAGUGGGUUAGAGAAGGUUGUGUAAUCAAAGUGCACAUCAUUUUUCUUAGAAAAGAGAGAGAGAAAGGUCCUUUUAUUUAGUAAUUAAUACAUGCAAGAGGCAGCCCCAGAGUGACCUGAAAGAGUAAAGCUGUGAUUGGCAGGUGGCCGGUAUAGUAUAAUACAGAUGUUCCAGGCAAUUCUCUUAAAGCACUUCUGUAGCAGCAAUGAUCAUUUUAAAUGGCUGUAGACUGGAUUCUUUUGAGGGGAGUUGGGGGAAUUGUAUUCAUAUUUCUUUAAAGAUUUAUAGCUAUAGACUUUCUCUUUUUUAAUAAAUCUAUCAAACAACAAACAGCAUAAAGUGAGGUGUUGGGGUUUUUUUCUUUUGCUUUUGCAUAUGUGUUGUUGGACAAGGAUGUGUCCUUUUCAUAAACAUUGUGUGCAAAAGAAUUUUUAAUAGCGUGAGCACAAGGACAUGUAUAGGAAACACAUCAGAUCUGCUUCUGUUGCCCUGGCUGACUCUCUGUCAGACACUUGAACUUCUGGCUUGUGUGCAUAAAGCAGGUUUCCAGUAUAGUGGUACUACAGCCAACAGACUUGAGGGACCCCUAAAGCUUCGUCAGUGGGGGUGGUUUUGUCAGCUAGAAGAUGCCCACCACACCUCAAAUUAAGAAAUUGAGAAAGUCUGGUCCCUUUCAGUUUCACAUUUCCCCCUCCCAAUGUCUCUGUGUCUUUGUUUCCCGGCCCUUCUUGCGUCAACUAGUCUAACCUGGACCACCCCAACCAAUAUCAGGCUCUUGAACACUCAUGGUAGCUACACAUACCCAGUGACAACAAACACCCAAGCUGCUCAACCUGAAUACCUUUCAGCCUGCCCUGCAAAUGUCAUCAAGAUGCCUGAAGCACAGGGCAGAGAGUCCAACUCUCACUGGCGGGGCUGGGAAGGCUCUCCUUUGCGGCGGAGGAGAAAGGAAACUUGGGUCUGCUUUUUAGGUUCUGAAAACAAGCCAGAGCGGAGAGAAAGAGUUAACACCAGACUUAGGAAAGCUUUUUUUUUUUUUUUUUUUUU